rnacentral:rRNA from 1 species
GACGAACGCUGGCGGCGUGCUUAACACAUGCAAGUCGAACGGAAAGGCCCUGCUUUUGUGGGGUGCUCGAGUGGCGAACGGGUGAGUAACACGUGAGUAACCUGCCCUUGACUUUGGGAUAACUUCAGGAAACUGGGGCUAAUACCGGAUAGGAGCUCCUGCUGCAUGGUGGGGGUUGGAAAGUUUCGGCGGUUGGGGAUGGACUCGCGGCUUAUCAGCUUGUUGGUGGGGUAGUGGCUUACCAAGGCUUUGACGGGUAGCCGGCCUGAGAGGGUGACCGGCCACAUUGGGACUGGAAUACGGCCCAGACUCCUACGGGAGGCAGAAGUGGGGAGGAGUGUACAAUGGGCGGAAGCCUGAUGCAGCAACGCCGUGUGCGGGAUGACGGCCUUCGGGUUGUAAACCGCUUUCGCCUGUGACGAAGCGUGAGUGACGGUAAUGGGUAAAGAAGCACCGGCUAACUACGUG